rnacentral:rRNA from 1 species
CCAGAGGCCACUGCUAUCGGGGUUUGACUAAGCCAUGCGAGUCGAGAGGUGUAAGACCUCGGCGUACUGCUCAGUAACACGUGGACAAUCUGCCCUGAAGUGGAGGAUAAUCCCGGGAAACUGGGGGUAAUACUCCAUAGUUCGUGCUGACUGGAAUGUUAUGCGAACGAAAGAUCCGUCGCUUCAGGAUGAGUCUGCGGCCGAUUAGGUAGUUGUUGGGGUAACGGCCCAACAAGCCUGUCAUCGGUACGGGUUGUGGGAGCAAGAGCCCGGAGAUGGAUUCUGAGACACGAAUCCAGGCCCUACGGGGCGCAGCAGGCGCGAAAACUUUACCAUGCGGGCAACCGUGAUAAGGAAACCCCGAGUGCCAGCACAGGCUGGCUGUCCGCCAGUGUAAAUAACUGGUGAAGAAAGGGCCGGGCAAGACCGGUGCCAGCCGCCGCGGUAAUACCGGCGGCUCGAGUGGUGGCCACUAUUACUGGGCUUAAAGGGUCCGUAGCUUGAUAUGCAAGUCUCUUGAGAAAUCCGCCAGCUUAACUGGUGGGCGUUCAGGGGAAACUGCAUUUCUAGGGACCGGGAGAGGUGAGAGGUACUGCCGGGGUAGGAGUGAAAUCCUGUAAUCCCGGUGGGACCACCUAUGGCGAAGGCAUCUCACCAGAACGGGUCCGACAGUGAGGGACGAAAGCUGGGGGAGCAAACCGGAUUAGAUACCCGGGUAGUCCCAGCUGUAAACGAUGCGCGUUAGGUGUGUCAGUGACCACGUGUCACUGAGGUGCCGAAGGGAAACCGUGAAACGCGCCGCCUGGGGAGUACGGUCGCAAGGCUGAAACUUAAAGGAAUUGGC